GCCCAGGUGGUGAAAUUGGUAGACACGCACGGUUCAGGUCCGUGUGCUGAAAGGCAUGGGGGUUCGAGUCCCUUCCUGGGCACCA
rnacentral:tRNA from 1 species